UUUAUACUCCCUCCGUCCGGAAAUACUUGUCAUUGAAACGGAUAUAUCUAGAUGUAUUUUAGUUCUAGAUACAUCAAUUUUCAUCCAUUUUGAUGACAAGUAAUUCCAGACGGAGGGAGUACAAU
rfam:Triticum aestivum genome assembly, contig: Triticum_aestivum_CS42_TGACv1_scaffold_225336_3B